rnacentral:rRNA from 1 species
GACGAACGCUGGCGGUGUGCUUAACACAUGCAAGUCGAACGGUAAGGCCCUUUCGGGGGUACACGAGUGGCGAACGGGUGAGUAACACGUGAGUAACCUGCCCUCAUCUCUGGGAUAACAGUCGGAAACGGUUGCUAAUACUGGAUAUGAGCUUGCAAGGCAUCUUGUGGGUUGGAAAGAUUUUUUUUGGUUGGGGAUGGACUCGCGGCCUAUCAGCUUGUUGGUGAGGUAGUGGCUCACCAAGGCUUCGACGGGUAGCCGGCCUGAGAGGGCGACCGGCCACAUUGGGACUGAGAUACGGCCCAAACUCCUACGGGAGGCAGCAGUGGGGAAUAUUGCACAAUGGACGGAAGUCUGAUGUAGCAACGCCGCGUGCGGGAUGACGGCCUUCGGGUUGUAAACCGCUUUCAAUUGUGACGAGGCUUUUUUGUGACGGUAGCAGUAGAAGAAGCACCGGCUAACUACGUG